CUCCUCCAGGCCCUUUCCCUUCGGCCUCCGGCCAGGGUCCACCCGAGGGUCCCUCCUGUACCCAUUCUGUUCUCAGCUCUUCUCCCACAUCCAGCUGCAUCUGCAGUGUCCAGGACUGAGAACCUGAUGUCCCAGGCCUCUGUGCAUCCUAGGGACCCCAGAACUGGAUCUUCCACGGUAUCCAGCAGUGUCUGAGGUGCCAGAGAGUCUGAGUCCAACUCUAGCAGGUUCAGCGGAACCUCAGACUGCUCCUUGCCCACCCCCAGAGUAGGGUCCUUCGACUUCCCAUAGUCUGGUGCCUGCUCAGCAAUACCAUGAGGUGUGCACAGUAAAAUUCCUCUAAUCCACCUCACCCAGUGGCCUGAGUCCUGGGCUUGACUCCGAAACCCAUUUCUUAUCCCACAGUGACUAUUGACCUAUCAUGGUACAUGCUUUUAAUGCCAGCAUUUGGGAGGCAGGCACAGGAAAAUCUCUGAGUUUGAGGCCAGCCUGGUGAUUUUCAGGACAUCUACAGCUACACGGGUAAUUCUUGUCUCAAAAACAUUUGCCAAGCCUCACAAGAAAUUUUUGUUUAUGUUUACGGUAUCUGUUCAAAUUCAUCUUCUUAAAAAUUGAAACUAUAGUGUUUUAUACAAGUUAUAUAUUGCAAGUUAUGAUGUGCACUCACUGAUAAUUAGAGUUAUCCUGGCUUGAGUCCAUAGGUGACACCAUCUCUCUUCUGGUCUCAUUGGUGUCAGCGGGCUGAUUCCAGAAAGAUUGACACAAAACCAGCACCUUACCAAUGCCUGUGGGACUUCUGCCUGAAAACCACAGACCAAGGCAGAAGAAAUAGAGGGGUGGCGAAGAAAGGGAAUCUGCUUUCACCAUCUGAGUUCUGAUAAGCGGCUUGUUAACCGGUAACAACACCUUGUAACUUAGUGCAUUUUAUCUCCAAUAUUCUGGGGACAUCAGAAUGACAACAGUGCUUUCCACGCUGUGUCAUCUCACCAUCUCUUAACACUCCAUACCACUGCAAAUCAGCAAGAGAGCUCAAGUACACCAAUGCAAAGUCCAUUUGGGUCAACUGCUCCUGCCAUGAUUCCAACACUUUGGGAGGAAAAAGUCAGAAGAUUCAGGCUGGCCU
rnacentral:lncRNA from 1 species